rnacentral:rRNA from 1 species
UACGUAGGGUGCAAGCGUUGUCCGGAAUUAUUGGGCGUAAAGAGCUCGUAGGCGGCUCGUCGCGUCGGCUGUGAAAACCUGGGGCUCAACCCCGGGCCUGCAGCCGAUACGGGCGAGCUAGAAUUCGGUAGGGGAGACUGGAAUUCCUGGUGUAGCGGUGAAAUGCGCAGAUAUCAGGAGGAACACCGGUGGCGAAGGCGGGUCUCUGGGCAGAUAUUGACGCUGAGGAGCGAAAGCGUGGGGAGCGAACAGG